rnacentral:rRNA from 1 species
AUGGCCCAACACAUCUGCAAGGAUACAAAUGUGAAGAAUCACUUUGGUGCCAAAAAUAUAAUUUGGACAUGUGUUUCAGAUGACUUUGACAUAAAACGGUUAACGAAAGACAUUGUAGAGCGCCUGGGAGGAGAUGCUUCAUCUAAUAGUCUGGAAGUUCUUAUGGGUAAAUUAGAAGGCUGCGUCAAGUCCAAAAAGUUCUUACUUGUCCUUGAUGACAUGUGGGAUGAUAUCUUGAAGGAUGAUGGGGUGGAAUGGAAGAGGUUUUGUGCGCCUUUGAAAAAUGGCGUCGAAGGAAGUAGGAUUUUGGUCACCACUAGAUCUCCCGAGGUUGCUAAGCUAGUUGGCCCUAUGAAUAAUUAUGAGUUAAAGGGCUUAAAAGACGGUGUAUUCUUGGAGUUCUUCAAAUUCUGUGCAUUUGGAUCCAAGACUUUGGGCAACAACAGGGAGUCGUUGGAGCGCAUUGGUGAAAUAAUUGUUCGAAAGUUGAAGGGUUCCCCAUUGGCUGCCAAGACUAUUGGACGCUUGCUGAGAAUGGAUCUAAAAAGCAUCACCACAUAG